ACGAACGCUGGCGGCAUGCCUAACACAUGCAAGUCGAACGCGACCUUCGGGUCUAGUGGCGCACGGGUGCGUCACGCGUGGGAACCUGCCCUUAGGUUCGGAAUAACUCCCCGAAAGGGGUGCUAAUACCGGAUAAUGUCUUCGGACCAAAGAUUUAUCGCCUUUGGAUGGGCCCGCGUUGGAUUAGCUAGUUGGUAGGGUAAAAGCCUACCAAGGCGACGAUCCAUAGCUGGUCUGAGAGGAUGAUCAGCCACACUGGGACUGAGACACGGCCCAGACUCCUACGGGAGGCAGCAGUGGGGAAUAUUGGACAAUGGGCGAAAGCCUGAUCCAGCAAUGCCGCGUGAGUGAUGAAGGCCUUAGGGUUGUAAAGCUCUUUUACCCGGGAUGAUAAUGACAGUACCGGGAGAAUAAGCUCCGGCUAACUCCGUG
rnacentral:rRNA from 1 species